rnacentral:snRNA from 1 species
UCUAUAUUGACAAUAUGCAGG